GAAUCAUGAAUGAAAUGAGAUCCUAUUCUUUCCAUCUAAACCCCAACUUUAGAUAACAGCAACCACUCACCUCUAUAAAAUACAAAGCACAAGCUUCACUAUGACACAAGCAAAAAAGGUGCAACGAGUUAAAUCAUUCCCACCCACCAUUCACAUGUUCUACUACGUACAUUACCCUAUUCGAUCAAUAGAGUAACUGAUAUCUCACCCUCUUCAUCUAGGUACGUAAUUUCAUCCUCCCAGUCCCAGCUACUUUUUGCAGCCCUGGUGGUGGAAGUUUUGUUAGAACCUCUGCUCCGAGUGGAUUCAUGAAGCUGUCAAAAUGAUCAGACAUUACAUGAUCAAUCGUAAUCUCAUGGUAACUUUAAACACAAAAAAUCCACCCAUUUUCCAAUCACAAUGCAAAAUUUUAAAAACUGUCCCACGUACGCGUAUGUGUGCUUUCCAGCUAGGUUGCCGUUGGUGGAGAGUGAGAGCUCACCAUCAAUGGUUGCUGGUGUAAGUAGAAGACUAGAAGUCCUCUACUAGUAGUAGUAGUAGUCGACAAAACACAAAAUGGCGAUCUUAUGAAAAGGAAACAGCGACCACAUCAUUCAAUACCUCACACUAUUCACUCUCAUUCAUUCAUACACACACACAUAUAUAUAUUACUCACCGUCCUUCUUCUUCUUCUCCAGCUCACUUGAAAUUGGUCUCCGACAACAAAACACAAGGCCUAGCCCACAGUAUUCACUUGGCUCAUCACCACUGCUCCUAUAAAACGACGCCGUCCGCGUCUCUAAGAGUACUACAGAUGAAGAGAGAGAUGGUAGUACUGUUGGUGUUGGUGAUGGUGAUGAUGGUGAUAUCGACGCCCAUAGGAUCGGAAGCGCGGGAGCUGAGGCCGUCGGAUCACGGCUUGGGGUACACGCCGGCGGGGGGGAAUACGUCAGAGGCGCCGGCGGAGGCGAAGUCGUUCUUCAGCGGAGGAGGAGGAGGAGGGAGGGGGGGGAGGAGAGGCGGGAGGGGUGGCGUUGCCGAAGGCGAUGAACUCGAACGACACGUCGUGGUGGGAGGGAGUGAAUCAGGCACGUGACGGGGGGAGGAGGGGUCACGUGAGGGAUGUGCUGGUGGUGGUGAGCUUGGUUUGCGGGAUUACAGGUGUCCUUCUCUUUGUGGCGUCGGCGUUUGUUUAUCUGAUGAGACGCCGAAAGCGGAAAGCAGAAGCUUCUUCUUCCUGAAAGGUGGAUCUCUGUCUUUUCUUUUCCACUUGGUUAAUUCUUAAUUUUGCUAAUUUCAUGUUAUGUAAAUAAACUAAUUUAGGAAAAUUGAUUAGUCCCAUUUCUGGAAAAUUGAUGUAUCACAUUCAUUUGAUGUUCGAGAAAAGUUUGGAGUUCAAAUCUUUACUAAUAUUUUGCUAGAAAUAAAAAAUUAAAAAUCGUGAUUAUUUGAUGAUACAAAUGUGUUGUAUUACUGAACAAAUUGUUUUUGAUCACUAGCGCUACAUAAAUUCGCAUAAACACUUGCUUAUUCUGUUAUGGUGAUCUUGGUUUUGAAGUGUGUACGUUGUUUUACUAUGUAUGUAUGAGAGAUGUUAAACUAUCAUUAUCUAAUAUCUACUUACUUUAUGAAGUUUCGAAUGCCUUUAUCUAUUAUCGAUUUUGAGUCUAAUGAGAGUAGAAAACUAUUCUUAAUCUCAAGUUGCUUUGAAAUCUUUUUUGGAAACAAAAUACGAAGUUUCAAGCAACAGUGCCUCAUUUAAAUUUGCAUAGUGAUGCAAUUACAUCUUGUCAGAUAUAUAUUGGAAUCAACCACCAUUUUGAUUGGGACUAAGUGCUAGUUAUUCGUUAGCUAGGGAUAUGAUUCUUAUAUCACAAUUAUUAUGAAAUUGAAGGAGAUUGUCGGGUGGUG
rnacentral:lncRNA from 1 species